AUUUAUGUUAACCUACAUUGUGAGAAACCAUCUUGUUGACAAAGCUUCUAAAUUUGAUAUGCUUGCUUUGUUUUUCUCCUUGCGCUUUCAUAGACAACAAGACAUGCAGAGAUGGAAGCUCUUUAUGUCCUUCAGGAACAGUGGCAGAGGACUGGAUUUUCAGCCACAGAAGUUGUAGAGAAGUUUUCAGCAUGCUCCCUUUAUGUGACAUGUGAACCAUGCAUUGUGUGCAGCAGCAUUAUCAAUCAUUGGUAUAAAGGAAGUAUAUUAUGGCUGUGCAAAUGAUAAAUUUGGAGGCUGUGGCUCAACAUUGUCUUUGCAUUCAAGUAGCUCCAAGGCAUGUGUUAGUAAUGAGGAUUCUGGAUUAAAGGGUUUCAGAUGUUGUGGAAGUAUAUUGGCAUCACAAGCAAUUCCUCUUCUGUGAGAUUCUUAUGAAAGAGGAGACCCUACUGCUCCAAAGCCUCACAGGUCACGGGUUACUCAAGCUUCUCAUUGGAUCUGCACGUUGAUUCUUCCUUGAAUCCUCUCAUAGCUUUACACAACUAGAACUUCAUCAAGAGACCUGAGAAAGGAAGCGUGAUGCACGUCCAAAUCAGUUUUUGUCCAGAUGUUCAUGUGUUUACUAAGGGUUGCAGCUAUGAUCCCAAGUCCAUUUCAUGCUUUAAGUUGAUUAUCAGAUUGUUAAAAUAGUUUACGACAAAAUUUAUGCUUAACUACAUCUAGGUCUUAAUGGGUGGGGAACACGUCCAUUUCCAUUGCAGCAUAAUUAUCCAUGUCAGGGAUCGAAUCUGUAGUGAUUUUUUGCUGAUGAGUGAGGAGUCCAUUAUAUUCUAAUAUGUGCACGGGCACAAGUAAGAUUGUAAAUUUACAUGGGCCCGCACAAAUUUAAUAUGUCGCUUGCGAGGCCCAGGAAUAAUUAUUUAAAUAAAAUAAGGUCAGGGGCUAAUAAGAAGUAGGGGCGUGAAUAAAAA